ensembl:lncRNA
GCAGACAGAGGGGUGGUGUGUGUGUGUGUGUGUGUGUGUGUGCGUGUGCGUGCGUGCGUGCGUGCGUGCGUGUGUGUGUGUGUGUGUCUGUGUGGAUGGAUGUUAGUGAGAUGCUAUCAGGUGUGGAUGGAUGGAUGGAUGUUAGUGAGAUGCUAUCAGGUGUGGAUGGAUGUUAGCGAGAUGCUAUCAGGUGUGGAUGGAUGGAUGUUAGUGAGAUGCUAUCAGGUGUGGAUGGAUGGAUGUUAGUGAGAUGCUAUCAGGUGUGGAUGGAUGGAUGGAUGUUAGUGAGAUGCUAUCAGGUGUGGAUGGAUGUUAGUGAGAUGCUAUCAGGUGUGGAUGGAUGGAUGGAUGUUAGUGAGAUGCUAUCAGGUGUGGAUGGAUGUUAGCGAGAUGCUAUCAGGUGUGGAUUGAUGGAUGUUAGCGUGAUGCUAUCAGGUGUGGAUGGAUGUUAGCGAGAUGCUAUCAGGUGUGGAUGGAUGGAUGUUAGUGAGAUGCUAUCAGGUGUGGGUGGAUGUUAGUGAGAUGCUAUCAGGUGUGGAUGGAUGGAUGUUAGUGAGAUGCUAUCAGGUGUGGAUGGAUGGAUGGAUGUUAGUGAGAUGCUAUCAGGUGUGGAUGGAUGUUAGUGAGAUGCUAUCAGGUGUGGAUGGAUGGAUGGAUGUUAGCGAGAUGCUAUCAGGUGUGGAUGGAUGGAUGGAUGUUAGCGAGAUGCUAUCAGGUGUGGAUGGAUGGAUGUUAGCGAGAUGCUAUCAGGUGUGGAUGGAUGGAUGGAUGUUAGCGAGAUGCUAUCAGGUGUGGAUGGAUGGAUGUUAGCGAGAUGCUAUCAGGUGUGGAUGGAUGGAUGUUAGCGAGAUGCUAUCAGGUGUGGAUGGAUGUUAGCGAGAUGCUAUCAGGUGUGGAUGGAUGGAUGUUAGCGAGAUGCUAUCAGGUGUGGAUGGAUGUUAGCGAGAUGCUAUCAGGUGUGGAUGGAUGGAUGUUAGCGAGAUGCUAUCAGGUGUGUGUGGAUGGAUGUUAGUGAGAUGCUAUCAGGUGUG